ACCUUCUGCAUGCCUAGUAGCGGCGAGCGAGCGGGAAGAGCUCAAAUUUAUAAUCUGGCACCUUCGGUGUCCGAGUUGUAAUCUCUAGAAGUGUUUUCCGCGUUGGACCGCACACAAGUCUGUUGGAAUACAGCGGCAUAGUGGUGAAACCCCCGUAUAUGGUGCGGACGCCCAGCGCUUUGUGAUACACUUUCAAUGAGUCGAGUUGUUUGGGAAUGCAGCUCAAAUUGGGUGGUAAAUUCCAUCUAAAGCUAAAUAUUGGCGAGAGACCGAUAGCGAACAAGUACCGUGAGGGAAAGAUGAAAAGCACUUUGGAAAGAGAGUUAACAGUACGUGAAAUUGUUGGAAGGGAAACGCUUGAAGUCAGACUUGCUUGCCGGAGCUUGCUUCGGUUUGCAGGCCAGCAUCAGUUUUCCGGGGUGGAUAAUAACGGUUUGAAGGUAGCAGUCUCGGCUGUGUUAUAGCUUUCCGUUGGAUACAUCCUGGGGGACUGAGGAACGCAGCGUGCUUUUUGCGAAAGACUCGUCUUUUUCACGCUUAGGAUGCUGGUGGAAUGGCUUUAAACGACCCGUCUUGAAACACGGACCCA
rnacentral:rRNA from 1 species